rnacentral:piRNA from 1 species
UCCUGUUCUCACCUGAAUUCUAGGAACGGU